rfam:Hypholoma sublateritium FD-334 SS-4 unplaced genomic scaffold scaffold_3, whole genome shotgun sequence.
UCCGGUAUGGUGUAACGGCUAACAUUACCGCCUUUCAAGAUUAGUCUGAACGCGGUAGCUCGGGGUUCGAUUCCCCGUACCGGAA